UACGUAGGGUGCGAGCGUUAAUCGGAAUUACUGGGCGUAAAGCGUGCGCAGGCGGUUCGUUGUGUCGGCGGUGAAAGCCCCGGGCUUAACCUGGGAAUGGCCGUUGAAACUGGCGAACUGGAGUGUGGCAGAGGGGGGUGGAAUUCCGCGUGUAGCAGUGAAAUGCGUAGAGAUGCGGAGGAACACCGAUGGCGAAGGCAGCCCCCUGGGCUAGCACUGACGCUCAGGCACGAAAAGCGUGGGGAGCAAACAGGG
rnacentral:rRNA from 1 species